rnacentral:tRNA from 2 species
UAUUAUUAUUUUGGCAGAUUAGUGUAAUGAAUUUAGAAUUCAAUAAUGUAAAUAUUUUACAAAUAAUA